ACUAGAAUAAAGAGUUGAGAAAAAUUUUUGGAUGCUGGGUGACCCCAAAACAAAGCAGUGACAUCACCUGGAGAAUUCAUUUUGGGGCUUUUCUGGGGGUUUAUUUUAUUUUAUUUUUUUUGGCACCGUUUAUGAAAGGAUGUUGACAAACAAUCCAAUGCGGCCACUGUUCCUGUCACAUUGAAGGGAACCAACUUGAAUAUAUGUAUGUAUAUCAACAGAUCACAGCAUAAAGGUAAAUUAUAUCUUUGCACCGCCAUACCUUAGAUAAUGAAGUAUGCACCUCUUACCUGAUCCACAUCAAACCGAUUCUCGUUGCUGAAGAGUCGGCAUGAUACCAUCCUCACUUCGACCGUCGAAGGGCGUAGAGAAGCGUCAUUCCGCAAACUCAGACCAAUUCCGCCUUCGAUGUGGUUGAUAUGUAAUUUGCAAUUGUCCGUUUUCACCAGCUGCUUGGACCUCACCUACCUUCACAGCGUUGCUGAAAUCACAUAGCCUAAUUGACCAUCCGUGCGAAUGUAGGCGGGCUAAAACCGCAUAUCGCUGUGAAUAAUUCCUUUCUGAUAGGAUUCGCUUAAGGCGGAGGUAGGUAAUUUGGUCUAUCAAAUCCUUGCAGCGAGAUUGUUCCCGAGUUUUAGUCAGAAGGGGUUGGUUUGAAGAUUCGUGACAAAGAAGCCCAUUCCUAUCUCUCCCUCCUUAUUCUUCUAGAAAAAUGUGCCACGGGCGGUAACAACGCGGCCGCUAUCGUGAAUUAGAACUCAAAAUUGAGAGUUUUUGCUUCAAUUGCAACAAUGACGUCUGCGCAGUCCAUAUCUGCAGCUCAAUACCUGAUCUGCCCUUGUUGUCUUCCUUUAUUUUCAUUUAUUUUAAAUUAAUGAGCGAUCCGUCCUUUCUCAUUUGGAAACAGAC
rnacentral:sRNA from 1 species